GACGAACGCUGGCGGCGUGCCUAAUACAUGCAAGUUGAGCGAUGAAGAUUGGUGCUUGCACCAAUUUGAAGAGCAGCGAACGGGUGAGUAACGCGUGGGGAAUCUGCCUUUGAGCGGGGGACAACAUUUGGAAACGAAUGCUAAUACCGCAUAACAACUUUAAACAUAAGUUUUAAGUUUGAAAGAUGCAAUUGCAUCACUCAAAGAUGAUCCCGCGUUGUAUUAGCUAGUUGGUGAGGUAAAGGCUCACCAAGGCGAUGAUACAUAGCCGACCUGAGAGGGUGAUCGGCCACAUUGGGACUGAGACACGGCCCAAACCCCUACGGGAGGCAGCAGUAGGGAAUCUUCGGCAAUGGACGAAAGUCUGACCGAGCAACGCCGCGUGAGUGAAGAAGGUUUUCGGAUCGUAAAACUCUGUUGGUAGAGAAGAACGUUGGUGAGAGUGGAAAGCGCAUCAAGUGACGGUAACUACCCAGAAAGGGACGGCUAACUACGU
rnacentral:rRNA from 1 species